GCUGAUGUAGCUCAGUCGGUAGAGCAAUUCACUCGUAAUGAAUAGGUCAUCGGUUCGAUUCCGAUCAUUGGCUCCA
rnacentral:tRNA from 1 species